AUUGAACGCUGGCGGCAGGCCUAACACAUGCAAGUCGAACGGUAACAGGAAGAAGUUUGCUUCUUUGCUGACGAGUGGCGGACGGGUGAGUAAUGUCUGGGAAACUGCCUGAUGGAGGGGGAUAACUACUGGAAACGGUAGCUAAUACCGCAUAACGUCGCAAGACCAAAGAGGGGGACCUUCGGGCCUCUUGCCAUCGGCUGUGCCCAGAUGGGAUUAGCUAGUAGGUGGGGUAACGGCUCACCUAGGCGACGAUCCCUAGCUGGUCUGCGAGGGUGACCGGCCACACUGGAACUGAGACACGGUCCAGACUCCUACGGGAGGCAGCAGUGGGGAAUAUUGCACAAUGGGCGCAAGCCUGAUGCAGCCAUGCCGCGUGUAUGAAGAAGGCCUUCGGGUUGUAAAGUACUUUCAGCGGGGAGGAAGGGAGUAAAGUUAAUACCUUUGCUCAUUGACGUUACCCGCAGAAGAAGCACCGGCUAACUCCGUG
rnacentral:rRNA from 1 species